GGGGUUGUGGCUCAGCGGUAGAGCGCUCGCUAGGCAUGUGCAAGGCACUGGGUUCAAUUCUCAGCACCUCA
rnacentral:tRNA from 1 species